rnacentral:rRNA from 1 species
UACGUAGGGUGCAAGCGUUGUCCGGAAUCAUUGGGCGUAAAGAGCGUGUAGGCGGACUGGAAGGUCUGGUGUGAAAGCCCCGGGGCUCAACCCCGGAGGGUCACUGGAAACCGACAGUCUUGAAUCUGGAAGAGGAGAGUGGAAUUCCUGGUGUAGCGGUGGAAUGCGCAGAUAUCAGGAGGAACACCAAUGGCGAAGGCAGCUCUCUGGUACAUGAUUGACGCUGGAGACGCGAAAGCGUGGGGAGCGAACAGG